GUGUAGGUACCUUGCUGGUGAUUCCUCCCUCCUGGAGGCCAUCUGAAGAGGAAUGUCUAUGUCCUGUUAUCACCAGGAGCAACAGGUUAAUGGCCUGCAGACGCUUGGUUGCACUGAGUAAACCUACUAACACACAGAUAAGUCAAGUGAGUAGAAUAGUAUCAUAUUUAAGUUAACUAGCUCCAUUUUCUAUCCUGCAUUAUCUGGCUGUUGUGCUACAAUCACAGGAGAACUGGAUCAUUAACUAAUUAAAAGCAAAGUUUAUUAACUGCAGACUCUCACAUGAAGAUGCAAUACACUGCAUGCAAACAUUUAACACAAAGGCACAACCCCAGAGUUCCAUGUCUUCUGUUAAAGAGCUACAUGCAGAGUACAACAUAUUGUCACUUCUGCUCGAGUUCAGUCUCAGUUUGGGAGGAAGGUUCACAGUAACUCACUCACUGAGAUUCAACACAAAGAGUUUCUCUGAGAAGCACGCUCCUGAGUUAACUAGUAAGAAACCAGAGAGGUCGCAGUGGGCUCAUCUUAAAAAAGGAAAUGAGAAGUUUAUUACAAGACAGUUGAUGCCACUCCUCUGGCAUAUGGAUAGCACACCCAUCUUCAAGCUGGGGAAGCUCUACUGCAUUCAAGAGAUGCUGCCAUGCAGAAAUUCAGCUGCAAAAGAAACGGGAAAAAAUACUCAGUGAUGUCAUUUGGUGAGUAAAGCAAGUCUGAGGCACUGUACUGCUGAAGUACAUGAUUCAUUAUUACAAGUGUUAUUAACAUUUGUUAUUCACACAAGUUUUUUCUUUUUCUGUACAGAACAUGCAAUGCUAAAUGGCCAAGCACAGAAGGAGUCUAUUUGCUCCUCUUUCUCCUCCCUCAAGAUUAUUAAGCUCGUGGCAUCAACAGGGGAUGAAGUCCCAAGCACAGAAAUGCAGGAGCAUCCUUUCUUUGUGGUAAGCACUUAUCAUAUUCCUGUUUUAAGUUGGAGACAGACAGGUAUCCGCUUCACCACAGAAGCUUCAGCUUCCUAGCCACUUCAUUUUAGCACAGAUUCUUAAGCAUCUCAAUUCCCCACACAUAACACACAGCCUUGCCACCUGCAGUAGAAACCAUCUUUACAAAAAGCUGUCACAAUCAGACAGUUCUUCUCUAAAAAGGACCAGUAUUUUGGGGACAUACCUUGAAAGGAGAAGAACAGUUAGACCAAGGAGUUCCCCCACACAGGUUUGCUUCAGCAAGACAAUAAAGUGAAAGGCAUCUCUCAAACUGGAGACCUAGUUUUUCCACUAUUAAGAAGUUCCAAGUUUGUAAACUUGAAGUUGCCCAUCCACCUAUUCAACUCAGUGCAUUUUGAGGUAUGCUCUUAAGUACUAUGCUUCAUAUCCACAGAGUUACUUUUACCUUUAUAAAACACAGAACUGAGUUGGCCUUGUGAGAUCUCUUGCAGGAGAUUUCAUAAGUCUUUCCCCUGUUUAAUUUUCCCAUUAAUCUGUUUUCUUCUGCAAGCUACACUUGGAAGAAGUCUUAGAGAGCAGCAGAGCUUCCCUCCUUUCUGAGGAUCUCAGUCAACUCAGGCUGUUAUUCUAUACAUCCUGUGAAUCAAUAGCUGCUUUACUUCCACACAACACAGGCACAUGCCACCUCCAGCCACUUAAACAAAACACAGUGCAGUCAAUUUCUACUCAGAGCAAGCAACCUCUUAAGUCACAGACCAAGAGAGCCAUAUCCAAGAGGGUUUACCUCAGGUUGGAAAUAAACUAAACUUUCUUCCCUUCCCUUCCAGCGCAGGAGCACUACCACAAAGCAGCCAUCACCACAUAAGAGCCACCACAGCACAUAGGUGAGACCCCUUCACCACAAAGGGCUCCCCCCCCUCAUCCCCCCCACCCACUCAGGGGGGGAGGGCCCUCCUGGCCAGGAGGGGCUCCCCCCCCUCAUCCCCCCCACCCACUCAGGGGGGGAGGGCCCUCCUGGCCAGGAGGGGCUCUCCCCCUC
ensembl:lncRNA